rnacentral:rRNA from 1 species
UACGUAGGGUGCAAGCGUUAAUCGGAAUUACUGGGCGUAAAGCGUGCGCAGGCGGCUUUGCAAGACAGAUGUGAAAUCCCCGGGCUUAACCUGGGAACUGCAUUCGAGACUGCAUUGCUAGAGUAUGGGAGAGGGAAGUGGAAUUUCAGGUGUAGCGGUGAAAUGCGUAGAUAUCUGAAGGAACAUCAGUGGCGAAAGCGACUUCCUGGACCAAUACUGACGCUCAUGUGCGAAAGCGUGGGGAGCAAACAGG